rnacentral:lncRNA from 1 species
AUGGCCGCUGCUCGUUUCACCGCCGCACAGGUUCUAGAGCAGAUUUUUUUAAGCCAAUCUAAUGACGACUCUGAACCAGAAGAGGAAUCUGAGGAAGACGUGUCAAGUGAAGAAGAGAAAGAAAAAGGAGAAGCAGAAGAAGCAGAUACAGCAGGACCAGAAACAGAUGAAGGACAAAAAGACAGCGAGGGAUGUGAUCUAAGGCUGGACACUUCAGAUGAAGAAGUUGAUGAUGAAGAAUAUAAUGAUGAUGAUGAUGAAGAAGUUGAUGAUGAAGAAUAUAAUGAUGAUGAUGAUGAUGAUGAAGAUGAUGAUGAAAUAAUAGAAAAUGUGCAAAGACUGGAGCAAAUAGAACUCGAGGAUGAAGAAGAAGAAAAAGAAGAAGAAGAAGAUAAAACUUUUAUCUCUAAAGACGGGAAAAUAAAAUGGUCCUCCGCUGCGUUUCGCAACGGCGAGGAAGCGAGGAACGUCCCUCUUAGUCCUCUUUCUGCCCAGGGACCCACAGAGUACGCGGCGGCUCAGGCGGUCGACUUUGAAUCGACCUUCCGCAUGUUUGUGACCCCGGCGGUGGAAAGGAUCGUCCUGGAGAACACCAACCUGGAGGGCUCUCGAAAGCUCGGGAGCGCCUGGAAGGGCAUGGACGAGGUCGACCUGCGAGCCUACUUGGGCCUCCUGAUUUUGUCCGGCGUCUACAGGUCCCGAGGGGAGGCCGUGGCCAGCCUGUGGGACGCCGAGAGCGGCAGGGCCAUUUUUCGCGCCACGAUGUCGCUCAAGUUGUUUCACGCUUACUCGAAGCUGUUGCGUUUCGACGAUCGCCAAACGAGACCCGCCAGGCGAGCGACGGACAAACUGGCAGCCGUGAGAGAGGUCUGGGACGCGUGGGUGGAGCGGCUGCCCAGCCUCUACGACCCGGGUCCUAACGUGACGGUGGACGAGCAACUGGUACCUUUCAGAGGUAAAGCAAAAAAAAAAAAAACCAUGCAGACACAGACACAGACAUACAAACACAGGCAGACACACACACACACACACACACACACACGCAGACAUGCAGACACAGGCACAGACACACACACAUACACACACAGGCACAUAGACACAAAAAAAUAUAUUUUUAAAAAUCUCACCUUUAUUUUUUGUAGG